rnacentral:rRNA from 1 species
UGGGGAAUAUUGCACAAUGGGCGCAAGCCUGAUGCAGCCAUGCCGCGUGUGUGAAGAAGGUCUUCGGGUUGUAAAGCACUUUCAGCGAGGAGGAAGGUGGUGAGCUUAAUACGCUCAUCAAUUGACGUUACUCGCAGAAGAAGCACCGGCUAACUCCGUGCCAGCAGCCGCGGUAAUACGGAGGGUGCAAGCGUUAAUCGGAAUUACUGGGCGUAAAGCGCACGCAGGUGGUUUGUUAAGUCAGAUGUGAAAUCCCCGGGCUCAACCUGGGAACUGCAUUUGAAACUGGCAAGCUAGAGUCUCGUAGAGGGGGUAGAAUUCCAGGUGUAGCGGUGAAAUGCGUAGAGAUCUGGAGGAAUACCGGUGGCGAAGGCGGCCCCCUGGACGAAGACUGACGCUCAGGUGCGAAAGCGUGGGGCAGCAAACAGGAUUAGAUACCCUGGUAGUCCACGCUGU